CAAUAGCGUAUAUUAAAGUUGUUGCAGUUAAAAAGCUCGUAGUUGGAUUUCUGGGAGGGUGCUAAUGUCCGCCGUAGCGCGUGUGCAGCCGCGCCCUUCCAUCCUUCUGUUAACGCCUCUUGGCAUUUGUUUGCUGGUGGCGGGCUCAGAUAUUUUACCUUGAGAAAAUUAGAGUGUUUCAGGCAGGCUAGGCCGGAAUAUAUUAGCAUGGAAUAAUGGAAUAGGACUAUGGUCUCUUUGUUGGUUUGAGGGACUGCAGUAAUGAUUAAUAGGGAUAGUUGGGGGCAUUAGUAUUUAAUUGUCAGAGGUGGAAUUCUCAGAUUUGUUAAAGACUAACUUAUGCGAAAGCAUUUGCCAAGGAUGUUUUCAUUAAUCAAGAACGAAAGUUAGGGGAUCAAAGACGAUUAGAUACCGU
rnacentral:rRNA from 1 species